ACCUCGAGAGCGCUCUUAGUUUCAUUAGUAGUAUUAUCAUCACCCCUUGUUGAAUAUCCACCAUAUCGAAGGUGCUGUAAUCGCCAAGAAUAAUGAGGUAUCAUUUCUAACUUGUGUAAUCCCUCCGAGGCCUCUCGAAAGGGAAAACUAUAUGCAAAUUAUGUUGUGGAAAUGAUGUAUUUUUGUGCUUCACUUGCUAUUUUAUUUAUGAAUUUAUGGGAUGAGUUCUUAUGCUAGGGAUCCUAUAGGAGAAACCUCUGCUGAUAGUUCUCUAUUUAGCCUUGUAUGGUGUUUACAUGAGAACUUUGUGGCCAUGGAGAAGUGUUUUCUUCGGGUAGAACUACGUGGAAAGACGAUAGGAAUUUACUGAUAUGUUUGCAUUUAAAAACAUCAAGUGAACGGACCUGGCUACAUUUGAAAAAAAACAUAAUGAAGAAUAUGAUGAGUAAUGAGUAGAAUAUCAUACUACUAUGCACACCACUCGUCGUACUGUUGGCCUCGCCAGCCCUUAAUAGCUCAUGCAUUAAAAAAUAACCAGCUUAAUUAUUAAUAGAACAUGCAAACAUUAGCUAAGAAUUAAGUAUUAUAGGAAUAGUGAAUACUAUUCAAAUAGAAUAUUACCUUAAUCGCAUAUUAGACUAAUCACACAUAUUAGCCUAAUCACACACACACA
rnacentral:lncRNA from 1 species